UAUCAAUAAGCGGAGGAAAAGAAACCAACAGGGAUUGCCCUAGUAACGGCGAGUGAAGCGGCAACAGCUCAAAUUUGAAAUCUGGCGCAAGCCCGAGUUGUAAUUUGUAGAGGAUGCUUCUGGGUAGCGGCCGGUCUAAGUUCCUUGGAACAGGACGUCAUAGAGGGUGAGAAUCCCGUAUGUGACUGGCUUGCACCCUCCACGUAGCUCCUUCGACGAGUCGAGUUGUUUGGGAAUGCAGCUCUAAAUGGGAGGUAAAUUUCUUCUAAAGCUAAAUACCGGCCAGAGACCGAUAGCGCACAAGUAGAGUGAUCGAAAGAUGAAAAGCACUUUGGAAAGAGAGUUAAAAAGCACGUGAAAUUGUUGAAAGGGAAGCGCCCGCAACCAGACUUUGCGGCAGUGUUCGGCCGGUCUUCUGACCGGUUUACUCGCUGUCGUGAGGCCAUCAUCGUCUGGGACCGCUGGAUAAGACCUUAGGAAUGUAGCUCCCCUCGGGGAGUGUUAUAGCCUCUGGUGAUGCAGCGCGUCUCGGGCGAGGUCCGCGCUUCGGCAAGGAUGAUGGCGUAAUGGUUGUCGGCGGCCCGUCUUGAAACACGGACCAAGGAGUCUAACAUCUAUGCGAGUGUUCGGGUGUCAAACCCCUACGCGUAAUGAAAGUGAACGGAGGUGGGAACUUUUUGUGCACCAUCGACCGAUCCUGAUGUCCUCGGAUGGAUUUGAGUAAGAGCAUAGCUGUUGGGACCCGAAAGAUGGUGAACUAUGCCUGAAUAGGGUGAAGCCAGAGGAAACUCUGGUGGAGGCUCGCAGCGGUUCUGACGUGCAAAUCGAUCGUCAAAUUUGGGUAUAGGGGCGAAAGACUAAUCGAACCAUCUAGUAGCUG
rnacentral:rRNA from 1 species